GAUGAACGCUGGCGGCGUGCCUAAUACAUGCAAGUCGAGCGAACAGACGAGGAGCUUGCUCCUCUGACGUUAGCGGCGGACGGGUGAGUAACACGUGGAUAACCUACCUAUCAGACUGGGAAAACUUCGGGACACCGGAGCUAAUACCGGAGAAUAUAUUGAACCGCAGGGGGGAAUAGUGAAAGACGGUUUUGGUGUCACUUAUAGAUGGAUCCCCGCCGCAUUAGGUAGUUGGGAAGGUCAAGGCCUACCAAGGCUACGAUGCGUGGCCGAGCUGAGGGGGGGAUCGGCCACCCUGGAACUGAGACACGGUCAAGACUCCUACGGGAGGCAGCAGUAUGGAAUCUGACGCAAUGGGCGAAAGCAUUACGGAGCAACGCGGAGUGAGUGAUGAAGGUCUUCGGUUCGUAAAACCCUGUUAUUAGGGAAGAACAAAUGUGUAAGUAACUAUGCACGUCUUGACGGUACCUAAUCAGAAAGCCACGGCUAACUACGUG
rnacentral:rRNA from 1 species